AUAUUGAAAUGCCGACGCCAGUGACACAAUCAACCGGCAAGACGCGUCUGCCAGCUCCGGAUGUUUUUGUACCGAUUGACAACGCAGACGAUGGAGAACACGACGGAGCGACACCAUUGCGAGCUGCCUCCGAUAUCAAAGGAAACGGAAAUCCAGCGAAAAUGGUAAGACACACCAGUUCCAACACAAUUUUAGUAGCUGUUAGGCUAAUUAACCUGCGACAGUACAUUCACAUGAAAAAGCUAAACAUGCUGAUAUGAAACACGAGGA